UUGAUGGUUAUCUUUUUUGCAGGGGUACAUAAUGACUCGCCAUUUAUGCUGAAGUACACAUGUUUAAUAAUCACUACAAGUUCAGGCAUCAAUUUCUGAAUUUACAGUUUUUAUAAAAAAUGUAAUACUGAUUUUAAAAGUAAGAUUAUAUAGUCUUUUUUCCCUGUGAAUGUAUUCCCCUUAAUUUUUCAUUGAAAACUUGGUUCAACAUGUUGCUGAAUACAAUAUAGGUGUACAUAACAAUCGUAUCAAUAUAGGUGUACAUAACAAUCGUAUCAAUAUAGGUGUACAUAACAAUCGUAUCAAUAUAAAAACAAGAAUAAAUCUGCAAUUUCAAAAUCAUUCAUCUACAUUUUUCCAACCAAAAAAAAUGCUGUUAAAGUGUUAAUUUUGUAAGAGGAAAAAAAAUGAGUUAUUUUGGUAAAGAAAUAAAUGCUAACUUGUCCCAGAUCUGAAAUAACUGUUUUUGGCAUACAUAUACAUAUAUACAUAAUAAUAAAAACGAAUUUUCCAAUCAUACAUCCAUACAAUGAAUAAUUCAUAAUAUUCCAGUUAAUUCACAACAUAACAAUUACAACCAAAACCAAACAAGAGUUAACAAACAUUUUUGCAAGUUAUAUUUAACCAACACUGCCUUACAAUUUGCAUUAUAAUGUCAAUAUAAUCAGUUGUAUUAAAUUGCUUUUUUCUU
rnacentral:lncRNA from 1 species